CAGGAUGAACGCUAGCUACAGGCUUAACACAUGCAAGUCGAGGGGCAGCAUGAGAUCAGCUUGCUGAUCUUGAUGGCGACCGGCGCACGGGUGAGUAACGCGUAUCCAACCUUCCCCCUACUCAGGCAUAGCCCGGUGAAAACCGGAUUAACUCCUGAUAGUUUCACUAGAUGGCAUCUGACGGUGAAUAAAGCUCCGCGGUAAGGGAUGGGGAUGCGUCUGAUUAGCUUGUUGGCGGGGUAACGGCCCACCAAGGCGACGAUCAGUAGGGGUUCUGAGAGGAAGGUCCCCCCACAUUGGAACUGAGACACGGUCCAAACUCCUACGGGAGGCAGCAGUGAGGAAUAUUGGUCAAUGGGCGCGAGCCUGAACCAGCCAAGUAGCGUGCAGGACGACGGCCCUAUGGGUUGUAAACUGCUUUUGUGCGGGAAUAAAGUCAGGGACGUGUCCCUGUUUGCAUGUACCGCAAGAAUAAGGACCGGCUAAUUCCGUGCCAGCCGCAGC
rnacentral:rRNA from 1 species